AACGAACGCUGGCGGCAUGCCUAACACAUGCAAGUCGAACGAGACCUUCGGGUCUAGUGGCGCACGGGUGCGUAACGCGUGGGAACCUGCCCUUAGGUUCGGAAUAACUCCCCGAAAGGGGUGCUAAUACCGGAUAAUGUCUUCGGACCAAAGAUUUAUCGCCUUUGGAUGGGCCCGCGUUGGUUUAGCUAGUUGGUAGGGUAAAAGCCUACCAAGGCGACGAUCCAUAGCUGGUCUGAGAGGAUGAUCAGCCACACUGGGACUGAGACACGGCCCAGACUCCUACGGGAGGCAGCAGUGGGGAAUAUUGGACAAUGGGCGAAAGCCUGAUCUAGCAAUGCCGCGUGAGUGAUGAAGGCCUUAGGGUUGUAAAGCUCUUUUACCCGGGAUGAUAAUGACAGUACCGGGAGAAUAAGCUCCGGCUAACUCCGUG
rnacentral:rRNA from 1 species